AAAAAAAUAAGCUAAUUAAGCUAAUAGGUUCAUACCCUAUUUAUAAAGGUCAAACCCUUUUUUUUUUA
rnacentral:tRNA from 1 species